UAAUUGAAAUCCAAAGAUAAAGUUAUAUUUACAACUUCUUAUAUGAAAGCUAAUGAUACAUUUAUUUAUGUAAAAACCAUUUAGCAAAAUAUUAUAAUCAAAUAAAUAAGAGAAAUCAUGGAUCGAAGGCAAAACCAAAUCAUGAUAUUAAACAUAAUGAUUUUAAACUUGGUUUUUAUACUUAGUUUAUUAAAUGUUUUGGGCUAUGUUUUUUAAUUUUGUCACUUUUUAAAAAAAUUUAAACAAGUUUUGAGGGAAGAUUUGGGUAGUACAUUGUUUAGUAAUAAUGUUUGUCAAACAGGUUGGGAUAACUUGAUUUUCUCGGGUGAGUGAGAGUUGAGAAUGAAUUGCUGUACAUAUAAGGUAUUGAGUGCUAUGUGUAAUAACAUUGAUCAGGUUUAUCACUGGACAGGUUUAUCACAAGUGUAUCAUGUUUGUUGGUUUACAUCCAGUGUUCAUGUACUCUUGUUAAUAUUACAAGAUUUCUGGAUUCUUCCACCUCCUUUCCUACGAAAAAUGAAUUAAAGUAGAAAGUAAGAACUUCUGAGAAAUUUCCACUCCAUGUGAAUAUUUUCUGAUCUAAUUAGCUAAAAACUGUUGAUCAUCCUGAUAUAUUUCAAAAUGAGAAAAAGAAAAAUCAUUGAUCAUCUGAUUUAAAGAUUGUAUUUAUAGAAACUUCUUUUAAGCAUUGCUCACCUUAGAUAAGUUGCUUUCUUCAUGUAUAAGUAUAAGAAAUACAAAAGUUGGUUUUAACAUUACCAGCAAAUAUUAUACAUUUAGUUUAAGGAGGAGAUUUCAGACAUUCUUAUUUUUACUUUUUUGCAAUAUUUGGGUUAGCUUUAUGUCUUGUAGAUUCUAUUACUGAACAUCUACUCUGCACAGAAAUGCCUUCUCUUUUCUCUUCUGACUAUCUUUCCACUUUCUAUGUUUUACUAUUUAUUUAUUUUUCUAGUCCUUGAUUGAGUUCAGUUCAUCACAUCAUGUAGAAUUUAGAUCAUUUGUUUGUAGUAUGUUAAAUGUAGAUAAAUGGAUAUUGAACGCAAUGUUCUGAUAUGAACAAUACUCCAAUAAAAAUUCAGUAAGCUA